GUUAUCUGGUCCAAGAUGACUCUUUUCUCGUUUCUGGAAAUUUUUUUUACUUACAUAGGAUGUUAAAUUAUUUUAUACUCCCAAUCAAACAGAAUUCAAAAAAUAAUGUUUAUAAUGAGACUUACUAAGUUUUGUAAUAGGGCCUAUUAUCAUUUUAAUGAUGUGUACAUUACUCAUCGGAUUGGUGUAUGCAUCAAAAACUUAU
rnacentral:misc_RNA from 1 species